AGAGUUUGAUCCUGGCUCAGAAUCAACGCUGGCGGCGUGCCUAAUACAUGCAAGUCGGACGCGAAAGCCCCGCAAGGGGUUAGUAGCGUGGCAAACGGGUGAGUAACGCGUGGACGACCUGCCUUCGAGUGGGGGAUAACCUUCCGAAAGGAGGGCUAAUACCGCAUGACAUACCGUGUUUGGAUACAUGGAUAUCAAAGCCGGGGAUCGCAAGACCUGGCGCUUGAAGAGGGGCCUGCGUCCGAUUAGCUAGUUGGUGGGGUAAUGGCCCACCAAGGCUUCGAUCGGUAUCCGGCCUGAGAGGGCGGACGGACACACUGGGACUGAGACACGGCCCAGACUCCUACGGGAGGCAGCAGUAGGGAAUUGUUCGCAAUGGGCGCAAGCCUGACGACGCAACGCCGCGUGGAGGAUGAAGACCUUCGGGUCGUAAACUCCUUUCGACCGAGAUGAACACCUGCCGACCUAAUACGUCGGCAGGCUGACAGUAUCGAGGGAAGAAGCCCCGGCUAACUCCGUGCCAGCAGCCGCGGUAAUACGGAGGGGGCAAGCGUUGUUCGGAAUUACUGGGCGUAAAGGGUUCGUAGGUGGACUGCUAAGUCAGACGUGAAAUCCCUCAGCUCAACUGGGGAACUGCGUCUGAGACUGGCGGGCUUGAGUGCAGGAGAGGAACGCGGAAUUCCAGGUGUAGCGGUGAAAUGCGUAGAUAUCUGGAGGAACACCGGUGGCGAAAGCGGCGUUCUGGACUGUUACUGACACUGAGAACGAAGCCAGGGGAGCAAACGGGAUUAGAUACCCCGGUAGUCCUGGCCCUAAACGAUGAAUGCUUGGGUGUGGC
rnacentral:rRNA from 1 species